rnacentral:misc_RNA from 1 species
UGUGCCCAGUUGGCCUGAGCAGCACAGCACUACUGAAAAUAUAUGUUUCUUGGAGAUACACCAUGUCUAAUCGCCAAACCGGCACCGUUAAAUGGUUCAACGAUGAAAAAGGCUUCGGCUUCAUCACUCCUCAAGGUGGCGGUGACGACCUGUUCGUACACUUCAAAGCUAUCGAAAGCGACGGUUUCAAAAGCCUGAAAGAAGGCCAAACCGUUUCCUUCGUGGCUGAGAAAGGCCAAAAGGGUAUGCAAGCUGCACAAGUUCGCCCAGAGUAAGUUUCUGGCGCACUAAAAAAACCCCGUCCAUGUGACGGGGUUUUUUAU